rnacentral:rRNA from 1 species
CAGAACGAACGCUGGCGGCGCGUCUUAAGCAUGCAAGUCGAACGGCAAGAGGUAGCAAUACCUCCUAGAGUGGCGGACUGGUGAGUAAUACGUGGGUGACAUACCCUUCAGAUGGGGAUAGCUAUUAGAAAUAGUAGAUAAUACCGAAUACGAGCACAGGGGUUAGAGAUCUGUGAGGAAAGGAGCUAAGGCUCCGCUGAAGGAAUGGCCUGCGGCCCAUUAGCUAGUUGGUGAGGUAAGAGCCCACCAAGGCGAUGAUGGGUAUCCGGCCUUAGAGGGUGAACGGACACAUUGGGACUGAGAUACGGCCCAGACUCCUACGGGAGGCAGCAGCUAAGAAUAUUCCGCAAUGGACGAAAGUCUGACGGAGCGACGCCGCCGUGGAUGAAGAAGGCCGGAAGGUUGUAAAAUCCUUUUGAAACUGAAGAAUAAGCGUUGUAGGGAAUGACAGCGUGGUGACAGUAGGUUUUGAAUAAGCAACGGCUAAUUACGUGCCAGCCGCCGC